GUUUACAUCCAGACCAAGAGCCUUCAAAGCUCUAAGCAAGUAUAUUUACUUAAUUCCUG
rnacentral:tRNA from 1 species